GACGAACGCUGGCGGCGUGCUUAACACAUGCAAGUCGAGCGGUAAGGCCCUUUCGGGGGUACACGAGCGGCGAACGGGUGAGUAACACGUGGGUGACCUGCCCUCAGCUCUGGGAUAAGCCUGGGAAACCGGGUCUAAUACUGGAUAUGACUCCAUGACGCAUGUUGUGGGGUGGAAAGCCUUGUGCGGCUGAGGAUGGGCCCGCGGCCUAUCAGCUUGUUGGUGGGGUGANGGCCUACCAGGGCGACGACGGGUAGCCGGCCUGAGAGGGCGACCGGCCACACUGGGACUGAGACACGGCCCAGACUCCUACGGGAGGCAGCAGUGGGGAAUCUUGCGCAAUGGGCGAAAGCCUGACGCGGCGACGCCGCGUGAGGGAUGACGG
rnacentral:rRNA from 1 species